UUGCAUAUCUAAUUUGAUGUGAACCCAAGCAGAAAAUAAAUGAGAGAGAGGCAGUGAUCUGAUGUUAGGAAGAAGGGAAAACAAUGAAAUUAGACAAAAAUAAAAUAGAUUAAAAAUCAGAAGCAUAACAUGAAAUGAAUGAUUAAUUGACUAACGACCUGAAAAUCUAUGCAUUCAAAGUUAUAUCACAAUGCAAUGUGUUCACCACAAUAUAACAUCAAUUUGAAGGAAAUAUUUUUAUUGAGAAAUUACUUGAUAACGACAAGUUUUUAAGCUUAAUUUACAACAACUGAGAUGAUUAGCUGAACCGUAGAAAAAUAGUACCUUCUUCUAAAGCUCAGCAAUCCACUAGUCCUCCGCCCCUUGCUGGAGAAGGAAAUGAUGGCAAAACUCAAUUCCUUUUCCCUUCCGCAGCUGCAUAUUAUGAGAACCCGCAACAAGAGGUACAGUUCUUUACACAGCUAACAACUCCACAUGGAUGUUGUCCAAGAACCCACUGUCCACUGAUACAAUCUCGCCCUCCAAUCUCUUUCUUUGCCGGUAAAUUUGCAGUGUUGGGCGCUACCGGCUAGCUUGAUUAGCGGAAACAUGACAAUCUGAUGCUUUUAAUGGCUGUGCAUGCUAUACAAUUGACAAUUUUUUCACGGGAAGGUUCGUGUAGUUUACAAGUUGACGGAAAAACAAUGGGUAGAGGAAAAAGUGUCCCUGUCGUUUAUGAUCGAUAAGAUUGGGAAAGUUUCCUUUCCACAGGAAUCAUAUCUGCCUGAAAGACACAAAAAGUUUCCGUCCAAAUUAAAAAAAUAAAAAAUAAAAAAUGAACCUGCAGUCUUCAAUCAAUUGGUUACUAGCAACUGGAAGAAGAUUGACAAUAAUUUCUCUCAGUUCUCUCUUUUCCUCUCCUCUCUCUUUCUGUUUCUUGUUUCCAUCCCUUUCUAUUCUUUUCUCUGUUACCAAGCAGAUAUUGGAUUGAAUUAGAAUUCAAUCCAAUAUCUAGUGGUAUUAAAAGUAGCGAUGUGCUGAUGCAUUGAUGCUAUAAAAAGUUUCUUGUUUUUUUAUGGAAACCGCCUGAUUAUUCUUUAGUAUGGCUAUCUUUGGGGCCUUCUGGCAUGUGGGGAGUUCUGAAGAGCAGAAAAGGAGACAUUUCUUCUUCUAUUUUGCUUGUCCAAAGGUGUCAUGGAAUCAAAUGAAGCUACAAUAUUAGCCAUUAAAAAAGAGCCGAGUAACCCAUAAAAGAGAUUUACUGUAUCCUUUCAAAGUCUUAUAAGUAGUGUUAAUUGCUGAAUUAAAUUAUCUAAGGAAUUGGCGCUAAGAUGUUGAUUUCUCCAGUGAGUUCAGAUGUCUCACUAGUACUUGUUCUGCACCCAGAAAGGCCUUCACAUAAAGAGUGGGUCAGUACUCACACAGUGGAAGCAAAAUUUUUAAGCAAGCCUGUAUUCUAUGAUAGGCUUUCAAACCUGGACCAAACUAAACUUACAGUAAAAUAUUAGCUCAGGUGCAGGUGCUAAUAGGAAUGGAGGAACUAAACCCAUUUCCUUCAGAAUAAUGGGCGAUUGUAGUUUUCGAGGAUGCUAUGGGGCGUCUAUACUCUAUAGCCAGAUUUAGUUAUUGAAGCUAUUGUGGAAUCUGAAGAUGUGAAGAAAAAGUUGUUUCUUCAAGUUCAUAAGAUUGUUAAAGUUUCGGCCAGUUUGGCUUCUGAUACAAGUUCUAGUUCUAUCUCCAUAACUCAUCUUGCAUCUGCAACUAACAGAUUGUGUCAUAUUAUUUCUUCUUUUGCCCUUAAUUUACCUUAGAACAUCUAAUAAGAAUACUUGCAUAAAUUAACUAAUUGUCUCUUAUACCAACUUUUGCACAGGUCUCAAGGGACUCUGGAGUUUCUGUUUUCCUUUUCAUCAUGGUUAUGUAUUGAUCUCAACAUAAUAUUCUAACUAGGUCGAAAAAAACUUAUUAUCUGAAACAUAAUUGGCAUUCAAAUGAUUAUUAUUAGUAUUCUCCAUAUAUACAAAAUUAAAAAAUAUAUUCUGGCGGUGCUUCAUUCUCUGUUUCCCCUAUGUUUUAAGUUGCAAUAAGCAAGUACAAUCCUCUUUUAUUGCUUUUAUUUAAUUAAUUGUAAUCCUCUGUUUUAAGUUGCAGGAGAACGUUCAUACAGGAAUAAAGUUAGGAACAAACCAUCCAAUUGGUCCUUUAAAGCUUGCAGAUUUUUGGAACAUUGAUAGUGUAGUAUUUUGCCAAUAAUGCAAUGCUUUAUCAAUUACCAUUUACUCCAACUGUGUUGUUUUCUGCCUUUGCACUCUUGUAAAUUAAGAACAAGUUCUAUAGAAAAGUCCGCAGAAUUUUAUGAA